AUGUGGUUUUAAAAGGUAGUUUGCCUGUUUACCCCAUGGGGGCCUGGUGUGCAAUGGCUGCAGACAGUAAUGUAGUGUGUAUGCAAUAGUGUAAUGCAAGCAGUCUAUUGCUUGUAUGAGUUGCCCGAAGGGACCUUGGAGACAGCC
ensembl:snoRNA SNORA70 Small nucleolar RNA SNORA70